CGCUAUCACUCCUACGGGGAGCAGCAGUAGGAAUCUUCACAUGGACAAGUCUGAUGGAGCAACGCCGCGUGAACGAUGAAGGCCUUCGGGUCGUAAAGUUCUGUUGUAAGGGAAGAACAAGUGCCGCAGGCAAUGGCGGCACCUUGACGGUACCUUGCGAGAAAGCCACGGCUAACUACGUGCCAGCAGCCGCGGUAAUACGUAGGUGGCAAGCGUUGUCCGGAAUUAUUGGGCGUAAAGCGCGCGCAGGCGGCCUCUUAAGUCUGAUGUGAAAGCCCCGGCUCAACCGGGGAGGGCCAUUGGAAACUGGGAGGCUUGAGUAUAGGAGAGAAGAGUGGAAUUCCACGUGUAGCGGUGAAAUGCGUAGAGAUGUGGAGGAACACCAGUGGCGAAGGCGACUCUUUGGCCUAUAACUGACGCUGAGGCGCGAAAGCGUGGGGAGCAAACAGGAUUAGAUACCCUGGUAG
rnacentral:rRNA from 1 species